rnacentral:rRNA from 1 species
AUUGAACGCUGGCGGCAGGCCUAACACAUGCAAGUCGAGCGGAGCGGCGGACGGGUGAGUAAUACCUAGGAAUCUGCCUGAUAGUGGGGGAUAACGUUCGGAAACGGACGCUAAUACCGCAUACUAUCAGAUGAGCCUAGGUCGGAUUGGCUAGUUGGUGAGGUAAUGGCUCACCAAGGCUACGAUCCGUAACUGGUCUGAGAGGAUGAACAGUCACACUGGAACUGCGACACGGUCCAGACUCCUACGGGAGGCAGCAGUGGGGAAUAUUGGACAAUGGGCGAAAGCCUGAUCCAGCCAUGCCGCGUGUGUGAAGAAGGUCUUCGGAUUGUAAAGCACUUUAAGUUGGGAGGCGUUACCAACAGAAUAAGCACCGGCUAACUUCGUGCCAGCAGCCGCGGUAAUUC